rnacentral:rRNA from 1 species
GUUACAGUCGGGGGCAUUUGUAUUUCAUAGUCAGAGGUAAAAUUCUUGGAUUUAUGAAAGAUGAACAACUGCGAAAGCAUUUUCCAAGGAUGUCUUCAUU